rnacentral:rRNA from 1 species
UACGUAGGGGGCAAGCGUUGUCCGGAUUUAUUGGGCGUAAAGAGCGUGUAGGCGGCCAGGUAGGUCAGCUGUGAAAACUCGAGGCUCAACCUCGAGACGCCGGUUGAAAACCAUCUGGCUAGAGUCCGGAAGAGGAGAGUGGAAUUCCUGGUGUAGCGGUGAAAUGCGCAGAUAUCAGGAAGAACACCCCGUGGCUAAGGCGGCUCUCUAGUACGGUACUGACGCUGAGACGCGAAAAGCGUGGGGGAGCGAACAGG